rnacentral:miRNA from 1 species
GCCCUUGAGUUUCUUCUU